CCAAUAUUGAAAAUCUGCCAUUGACCACCAUUGUACUUUUUCUCUGUUUUCUCUCUCACCGCCUUUUUGCCGCUGUGAACAACUCCAAAAAGCCCUCUCUCUUUCUUCUUCUUCACCUUUUUAGAGAGAGAAACCCAGUUAUCUUUUCGGUUUCCUUAUUGAUUUCUCUCUCUCUAUAUCUAUAUCUAUAUGUAUGUAUCAUUUUUUCAUUAUUCGUCCAUAUCUCUAUUAAUUCGUCAAUUAACUACAAAACCCAUCUCCCAUUUGUUUGAUCCAACGGCCAUAAAUCAUCUGCUUAUUCAAUCGUUCGACUAAGGAUAUGUCUGCUGAAGUGGCUGAAGGAAUUUGUGAGGCCAGGCAUAUGGAACCUAAUGGUUACAGAAAGGGUAACAAAAGGAAUCUUGUUACCGUUCAAAAUGGUAAUCAUAGCCCGCUGAAUGUAGAUGAGGAGCUGGAUCCAUGGACUGCUUGGGCAUACAAACCUCGUACUAUUACAUUGUUGCUUAUUGGUGCAUGUUUCCUAAUCUGGGCAAGUGGAGCUCUUGAGCCGCAAAGUACUUCCUCCAGUGAUGUUACUACUUCUGUGAAAAGGGGCAUUUGGGCAAUGGUUGCUGUUUAUCUUGCUUACUCUUUGCUGCAAGCCCCUUCAACGGUACUUAUUAGACCACAUCCUGCGAUUUGGCGCCUGGUUCAUGGAAUGGCUGUGAUUUAUCUUGUUGCUUUGACAUUUCUACUUUUUCAGAGGCGCGAUGAUGCUCGCCAGUUUAUGACAUUUCUUCAUCCUGAUCUUGGCAUUGAACUUCCUGAAAAAUCUUAUGGUGCUGAUUGCAGACUCUAUGUACCUGAAAAUCCCACAAACAGGUUUAAGAAUGUUUAUGACACAUUGUUCGAUGAGUUCGUUCUAGCUCAUGUCUUAGGGUGGUGGGGCAAGGCCAUCAUGAUACGUAAUCAGCCUCUUUUAUGGGUCUUAUCUAUUGGGUUCGAGUUGAUGGAGCUUACUUUCCGCCACAUGUUACCAAACUUUAAUGAGUGCUGGUGGGACAGCAUUAUUCUGGAUAUAUUCAUUUGCAACUGGUUUGGCAUCUUGGCAGGAAUGCGUACUGUUCGAUAUUUUGAUGGAAGAACAUAUGAGUGGGUUGGUAUAAGCCGGCAGCCAAAUAUUAUGGGCAAGGUCAAGCGAACACUUGGCCAAUUUACACCUGCACAUUGGGAUAAAGAUGAAUGGCGUCCCCUCCUUGGUCCCUGGCGAUUCCUUCAAGUUCUCACUCUCUGUGUUAUUUUCUUGACUGUGGAAUUGAAUACAUUCUUUUUGAAGUUCUGUCUUUGGAUUCCUCCUAGAAACCCUUUGAUAGUGUAUAGGUUGGUUCUGUGGUGGCUACUUGCGAUACCAACAAUUCGGGAGUACAACACUUACCUACAGGACAGGACACCCGUAAAAAAGGUGGGAGCAUAUUGCUGGCUUUCACUAGCUAUUUGCAUUGUUGAACUCUUAAUCUGCGUCAAGUUCGGACAUGGAUUGUUUCCUGACCCCAUGCCCAAUUGGUUAGUAAUUUUCUGGACAUGCACUGGCGUUGGCCUUGUGUUAUGUUUGGCUGCAUGGUCAUGGCAAUUACAUCGUACAAUGAGGAAAAAACAGCAAUGAGUUUCUGCAGUAACUCCAUUCUUUAUUCCUUUGUGUUAUUUCGGGUCACAGGUUGGUAAAUGCCUUGUUUGUGCUGCCUCAGUUUGCAGGGCUAUUGUUCUCUCGAAGAUCAUCGAGUCUAUGGGUGGUACAAGUUUCUGAGAACUGCCUUGACCAAUAGGAAGCACAGAUAAUUUGGAACAAAGAGAGUUCAGACUAUGUUUUCUUGCAUGAGAAAAGACGUUUAUGUUGACCUUGAGGAUGAACGUGAUGAUACUGUUGAGCAGCAAAUUGAAAAGAUAAGAGAACAACUCAUUCUUGAUUCUUCCAUGGACAAUUUAUUUUUGUAGGCCAAAAUUUUAAGAUUGUGAUCUCAAGUAUU